rnacentral:rRNA from 1 species
UACGUAGGUGGCAAGCGUUGUCCGGAAUUAUUGGGCGUAAAGUGCGCGCAGGCGGUCCUUUAAGUCUGAUGUGAAAGCCCACGGCUCAACCGUGGAGGGUCAUUGGAAACUGGGGGACUUGAGUACAGAAGAGAAGAGUGGAAUUCCACGUGUAGUGGUGAAAUGCGUAGAGACCUCGGAGGAACCCCAGAGGCGAAGGCGGCGCUCUGGCUCGCAACUGACGCUCAGACACGACAGCAUGGGGGAGCGAACGGG